UGACAAUUUCAUUGAAACCAAAGAAAUGAUAAAUUCAUAAUCUUCUUAAGGAAUCAUAUUUGUACAUUGAAGCCAUAAUUCAUUUGCCCGACUUUUAACAAUCCAGGAAAUUCAUAGGUUAAAAAUAAAUACUAGAGACAUGGUUGCCCCUAAAGUACUAUCCUGUCCUAGAUGCAGGCUUUCCAGUUUUCCAACAAGCAUCUUCCCUAUAAUAUCGUAUCAUUUCAAUACCUUUUUACAAGUAAUUUGUGACGAGACCUUUGUACUUGUAACACCGGUUUGUGUUCUGUUAAAUUGUUAAAUUGUUUCACUUUCCGUUCCUUUCUUGGACAAUUCUUUGAUGCUGUAUUAUUCUUUUUUAUUUUUUAUGCAUUUUUUGUAUCAUGCAUGCAUAUAUAUCCUGCAUGUAAAAGAAACAGAUAUGCCGUAACAUGGAAUAGCUAUACUAGGAAUAACUAGUCAGAGCUUAGAACAUAGACCCUCUUUUUUUCUUUCUUGUAUUAACAUUUUUUUUUAACAUUUCAAUAUUUUUUUAUCUAUUUAAUCCGGACUAAAGGCAGCACAUUUAAACUAGUGUGUAAAUUGUAAAAUUGUAGUUAAAUUACGAAAGCAAGCACAAAUGAAGAUAAGUUAAACAUAAAAUAAUGAAUUUAUUACAAAUCUUUUAAAACAAAUAGAAGAAAGGGUGAGAAAAAAGGGUACCCAUGCCCAAUCGCCUAUUUAUCGUGAAUAAUACUUGAGGGUCUGGGUUUACAGAAUAUAGAAUUAUGGGGGAAACGCAGAAUAACGAACAAAACAUAUAACAUAAAGAGAAAAAAAGACCAAAAAUAUAAAGAAUAGAAAAUAAAAGGGUGAUCAAAUAGAGAAUAAUGAGAAAAAUUAUAAAGAAUAGAAAAAAAAUAUUUAAAAAAAUUAAAGAAUACAAAAUCGAUUGAGUCAGGACCAUUUAUCCAGACCCUUAUACUUUUGUAGUCCAAUUUUAUAAGCAUAUUAUGUUAUUUGAAGGGUAUAAAAUGAAAACACAUUAAUAACCCCUAUGAAUUGACACAGAUUCAAAUAAUUUACAACAUUCGAUUUUUUUAAUUUAUGUUAUCAAACUAGUGUCGCAUAUCUGUCAGAAGUUGUUAAAAUAUUACUAAUUACACCAAACAACUCGCGGCUUAAAAGCCUUUUAUCAAUUUUAUGUAAUGCACGCGUACGUUGAUUGUAGGCCCCCUAGUGUUACCACAUGUCGAGAAGACUUCAAAUGGAAACACAAGAUAAUUAAUUACAAGACGACACGGAUCAAUAAGUUUGUAUAUGUAUGAUUACUUGGUAUUAUUCUCUAUGUACGUGCAACGAAGAUGACAGACAAGUGGACAUUAGAAGGAGGAAGUUGAAAAUAGACGGGAACUGUCUUAAAUUCCAGUUUCGUAUAUAUGCAACAUUCAUCACAGUUCAAGAAAUUGGAGAAAACAAAGACUAGUACAGAACAUAAUGAAGAGCAAGAAUCAUUCAACAUGUUCAAGGAAAACUAUCAGAAUGAGGAUAAUAAAGAGAUAGCUUUGGUUGAACGAAAUAAUGGAAACAUGUAUUUGGGAAUAUUAGAAGAUACAAAGCUGACAUUUACAAAGACAAUUGUUGGAAAAGUUAAGAAGAGUUUAAAGAUGAAAAAUUCCAGCUAUAUCAUUAAAAGAUCAGAUGUCCAAACGAUUGAUACCAAAUACAUUAUAACGAAGACAGACUUGUGUGAAAAAAAAACCCAGAAUUAUUCCAACAGAUGACCAUUGACAAAACAUUAAACAAAAUGUUCAGGAUUAUAUAAGACAACACAAAUGACUUUCAAAUUGAUGUAUUUUUUAAAAUGUUUGUAUGCCAUCACAUGAUAAAUCGAAACAAUAAGGAAAUUGAUUUUUGGCCAUAUAGCAUUACGUUUGUUUUACAUGCUUUCUGAACUGUUCCUCUAGAAUAUUUGUGAUAAGAUAAAUUGGACAUAAUCAUAAUUGCAAUCAUUUUGGAAUAUUUAAUAGUAUUAAAAAUGAGAGCGGAAAAAAGGUAUAAUUCAUGAUCAUGAACAAAACAUUCUUUAUCAGUUUGACUGUCAUGACUGUAAUAAAUAACACCGUUGGAAUUUUCUUUUAAAUUUUUUUAAGUUUAAUCAUGUCGAGUACUUUUAUAAAUGACUAUACCAUCCUGUUUUUUUAUUUUAAUCAUGGUUGAAACAUUGAUGGAGUAAUUAUUUUCUGUUUCCUAAAUGUACUUAUUUAAUUAUUUUGUGAAUAUAUUUAAUACUAUCAAAAUUCACAAUUAUUAAAACAUCCUAUGUUGCAAAAAAGAUAAACAUUUCAAAGGAUUUUCCAAAUAAAGUUUAUUUCAUUUAUAUCACAAUAAUCAUAAAGCAAUUUCAAUGUAGAAUAAAUUUAUUCUGUGU